UGUUUACCUACCCCUGGAGAGGACCCCACACAUCCAUGGAGGGAGCUCAGUCUCCCAUCGCCCUGAUCCCGCUCCCAUCGCCCUGAGCCAGUUCCUGCUCCUCCUGUCCUGCUGCCACCCGCCCUGCUCCUGUCACUGUCACCCUGCUCCUGUCCCCAUCCACCAUGAUCCUGUCCCCAACACCCUGCUCCUGUCCCCAUCAUCUUGCUCCCACUGUCUGGAUCCUGCUCCUGUCCCCCUGCUCCUGUCCCCGUCACCCUGCUCCUGUUUCCAUCCACCGUGAUCCUGUCCCCAUCACCCUGUCCCUGUCCCUGUCACCCUGUCCCUGUCCCUGACCCCCUGAUCCUGUCCCCAUCUCCCUGACCCAUCCCCAUCACCCUGAUCCUGUGUCCUGAUCCUGUUCCUGUCACCCUGCUCCUGUCCCCAUCACCCUGCCCCUACUCCCACUGCCCUGAUCCUGGUCAUCCUGCCCCUGUCCCCAUCACCCUGCUCCUGUCCCCAUCACUCUGCUCCCACCACCCUGAUCUGCCGCCUUCUCCCACUGUCCUGCUCCUGGUCCCACUGUCUGGAUCCUGCUCCUGUCCCCAUCACCCUGCUCCUGCUCCCAUCCUUCUUCUCCCACUGUCUUGCUCCUUCUCCUACUUUCUGGAUCCUGAUCCCGUCCUCCUGUUCCCAUCACCCUGACCUUGCUCCUGCUCCCAUCUCCCAUCUCCCUGACUCACCUCCUGGUCCCACUGCCUGGAUCCUGCUCCUGUCCCUGUCACCCUGCCCCUGUCCCCGUCACCCUGCUCCUGCUCCCAUCACCCUGAUCUACCACCUUCUCCCACUGUCUUGCUCCUGCUUCUACUGUCUGGAUCCUGAUCGCUGUUUCCCAGAGCCACAGCCCCAUUUUCAGGCUGAGGACCUGGGCAUCCCCCCCUCCAUCCAGCUGUGGAAGCCCUUUAGCAGUGGGGAAACUGAGGCAGGGCAUGGUGGGGGGGGCUUGUGCUGGACCCCCCCCUUAUUCACUCACCCUGCCUGCAGGUGGGGGGGCCGGGGGGCAGGCAGGGAGCCAGGCAGGGCGGGGGUCACGGCGCAGCCGGGGCAGGAAGCCGGGUGUCAGGGCGGGAAGAGGAAGAGCCACUUCCCCAUCCGAGGGGGGCAGGGUCUGGCCUGAAGCAGGGAGAGAGGCUCAGGGUGGGGGGCACAGACCCUUCCCCAUCCCUGUAGCACCAGAGGGGUCUGAGGAAGGUGUCCCCCCCCCCCCACCCUGGGGCUCUGGGUUGAUGGGGCAUCCCUGUCCCCUCCAUCCCGGCUCCCUCCCGAGUGGCUGCCCCAGCUGAGAUCACAGAAUCACAGAAUCUUCUAGGUUGGAAGGGACCUUAAAGAUCAUCUUGUCCAACCGUCAACCCAACUGACAAAAAUAGACACCCACACAACAAACAAGGAGCAUCAUCACUAAACCAGACCUCCCAGCGCUACAUCAACCCGGCUUUUGAACACCUCCAGGGAUGGGGCCUCAACCCCCUCCCUGGGCAGCCCAUUCCAAUGGCUGAGAACCCUUUCGGUGAAAAAAUGUUUCCUAAUAUCCAGCCUGAACCUCCCCUGGUGCAACUUGAGGCCAUUUCCUCUUGUCCUGUCGCCUGUGACUUGAGAGAAGAGACCGACCCCCACCUCUCUACACCCUCCUUUCAGGGAGUUGGAGAGAGCAAGAAGGUCUCCCCUCAGCCUCCUCUUCUCCAGGCUGAAGAACCCCAGCUCCCUCAGCCUCUCCUCAUCAGACUUAUUCUCCAGACCCCUCACCAGCUUUGUCGCCCUUCUCUGGACCCGCUCCAGCCCCUCAAUGUCUUUUUUAUGGUAGGGGGCCCAAAACUGGACACAGUACUCAAGAUAACCCUCCCGUCGUGAUAAAUCCUGGAGGGUGACCACUGUGUGGCCAGAUCCUGGUGGGGAAAGGGGGUGCUGGUCCCGGGGGUGGGCACCCCCAGCACCGUCCGGUGGCCCCCGCGGCACGGCCGGGCUCGGCAGCAGGAAGGGGAGCAGGAUGAGGCCCUUAAUGGCAAUCACAGAGGGAACCUGAGGAAGGGAAACAGGGAAAUGCGCGCCGGGAUCGGGGAUAAACACAGCUGCUGGAGCGGACGUCAGCCCCCCCGGGGGGUGGCAGUGGGGUUGGGGGG
rnacentral:lncRNA from 1 species